UAAAGAGGUACGCGAGCUGGGUUUAGAACGUCGUGAGACAGUUCGGUCCCUAUCUACCGUGGGCGUUGGAAAUUUGAGAGGAUCUGCUCCUAGUACGAGAGGACCAGAGUGGACGAACCUCUGGUGUACCGGUUGUCACGCCAGUGGCAUCGCCGGGUAGCUAUGUUCGGAAGGGAUAACCGCUGAAAGCAUCUAAGCGGGAAGCCUACCUCAAGAUAAGAUUUCCCCGAGACUUUAUGUCUCCUAAAGAGCCGUUGAAGACUACGACGUUGAUAGGUUGGAUGUGGAAGCAUAGUGAUAUGUGAAGCUGACCAAUACUAAUUGCUCGUGAGGCUUGACUAUACAACACCCAAACAGUUG
rnacentral:rRNA from 1 species